rnacentral:hammerhead_ribozyme from 1 species
GCAUUGCUGAUGAGUUCCACAAUAGGGCGAAACGGCCGUACAGUGC